rnacentral:lncRNA from 1 species
GAUGGUUGACCAAGCAAAAAUAUCAGUGUUUACUCUUGAGUAAAUUUACUAACUGCUGCAGCUCUGGAUUGGGCAGUUGCGAUCCAAUUUGAACCAUUUUCUCGGGAUCCUCUUCUUGUAAUGGGAUAGAGACCAGUUGUUUAGCUGGUUAACCCCUAUUUUGAUUUUUUCUUUGGUUUAAUUUAUCGACAGAUAGAGAGUCUUCAGGUUUAUUAUUUUGGAUGG